rnacentral:rRNA from 1 species
CACGUAGUUAGCCAGUCCUUAUUCCCCACCUACCGUCAACCCCCAGAGAACUGGAAGCCUGCGUUGGUGGUAAAAGAGGUUUACAACCCGAAGGCCGUCAUCCCCCACGCGGCGUCGCUGCGUCAGGCUUUCGCCCAUUGCGCAAUAUUCCCCACUGCUGCCUCCCGCAGGAGUCUGGGCCGUGUCUCAGUCCCAGUGUGGCCGGUCGCCCUCUCAGGCCGGCUACCCGUAAUCGCCUUGGUAGGCCGUUACCCCACAACAAGCUGAUAGGCCGCGAGCCCAUCCCUGACCGAAAACUUUCCACCCUCCACCAUGAGGUGGCGGUCGUAUCCGGUAUUAGACGGCGUUUCCACCGCUUAUCCCAGAGUCAGGGGCAGGUUGCUCACGUGUUACUCACCCGUUCGCCGCUCGUGUACCCCGAAGGGCCUUACCGCUCGACUUGCAUGUGUUAAGCACGCCGCCAGCGUUCGUCCUGAGCCAGGAUACAAACUCU